rnacentral:lncRNA from 1 species
GUGAAGGAUUCAAAGCUAUCAGAGUGUUCAUCUGGAUUUAAUCAGAAAUUAGGGUUUCAUGGCUACCUGCAACAGGAAAUGUUUGUUUGGAAGUAGAGGAUCUCAUCCAUGUCAUGAUUAGAGAUGCAUCUUGGCCUAGGAAGAUUCACAAUUAUCUCAGAAAGAUCCAUUGGCAAUCAGUGCAAUCAGUUCUUGAUCAUUUUGCCCUAAAACUAGGGUUUGGUAUAAAAUUAGUUUAUUUUUGAUUCUUUGGGUGAAACUCUUUUCCAUGGCCCUCCAUAUGUCCACAAGUGUCUACAUACAAAAAAUCAGCUCUUUAUUUGAGCUAGAAGUGCUUCAAUUGAUCAAUGGAAUCGGGAAUCAGAUAGUUUGGGAAAAGUCAAUUGUGGGGCGAAAAAAGUCAACUCCUGACAUUUUGAGAGUGGAAUCU